CCCUUAGAUGUUCUGGACCGCACGCGUGCUACACUGAGUGGAUCAGCGGGUCAGGUUGCGCGAAAGUGUUUCCUAAUCUUGAAAUCCGCUCGUGAUGGGGAUUGACGGUUGCAAUUUUCUGUCAUGAACGAGGAAUACCUUGUAAGCGCGGGUCAUCAUCCCGCGCUGAAUACGUCCCUGCCCUUUGUACACACCGCCCGUCGCUCCUACCGAUUGAGUGGUCCGGUGAGGCUUUGGGAUCUGGAUGGAAAGAGCGUUUCGCUGUUUCUGCCCGGAAAACUCAGUCGAACCUUAUCAUUUAGAGGAAGGAGAAGUCGUAACA
rnacentral:rRNA from 1 species